AAACACAGCACUGUGCAAAAUCGUAAGAUGACGUAUACGGUGUGACGCCUGCCCGGUGCCGGAAGGUUAAUUGAUGGGGUUAGACUUCGGUCGAAGCUCUUGAUCGAAGCCCCGGUAAACGGCGGCCGUAACUAUAACGGUCCUAAGGUAGCGAAAUUCCUUGUCGGGUAAGUUCCGACCUGCACGAAUGGCGUAAUGAUGGCCACGCUGUCUCCACCCGAGACUCAGUGAAAUUGAAAUCGCUGUGAAGAUGCAGUGUACCCGCGGCUAGACGGAAAGACCCCGUGAACCUUUACUACAGCUUGGCACUGAACAUUGAACCUACAUGUGUAGGAUAGGUGGGAGACUUUGAAACCGCGUCGCUAGAUGUGGUGGAGUCGUCCUUGAAAUACCACCCUUGUAGUUUUGAUGUUCUAACGUUGGUCCCUGAAUCGGGAUUACGGACAGUGCCUGGUGGGUAGUUUGACUGGGGCGGUCUCCUCCCAAAGAGUAACGGAGGAGCACGAAGGUGGGCUAAACACGGUUGGACAUCGUGUGGUUAGUGCAAUGGCAUAAGCCCGCUUGACUGCGAGAAUGACAAUUCGAGCAGGUGCGAAAGCAGGUCAUAGUGAUCCGGUGGUUCUGAAUGGAAGGGCCAUCGCUCAACGGAUAAAAGGUACUCCGGGGAUAACAGGCUGAUACCGCCCAAGAGUUCAUAUCGACGGCGGUGUUUGGCACCUCGAUGUCGGCUCAUCACAUCCUGGGGCUGAAGUCGGUCCCAAGGGUAUGGCUGUUCGCCAUUUAAAGUGGUACGCGAGCUGGGUUUAGAACGUCGUGAGACAGUUCGGUCCCUAUCUGCCGUGGGCGUUGGAAAAUUGAAAGGGGCUGCUCCUAGUACGAGAGGACCGGAGUGGACGAACCUCUGGUGUUCGGGUUGUCAUGCCAAUGGCAUUGCCCGGUAGCUAAGUUCGGAAUCGAUAACCGCUGAAAGCAUCUAAGCGGGAAGCGAGCCUUGAGAUGAGUUUUCCCUGGCRCUAUAAGYGUCCUAAAGGGUUGUCGUAGACUACGACGUUGAUAGGCAGGGUGUGUAAGUGCUGCGAGGCAUUGAGCUAACCUGUACUAAUUGCCCGUGAGGCUUAACCAU
rnacentral:rRNA from 1 species